UACAGAGGUCUCAAGCGUUGUUCGGAUUCAUUGGGCGUAAAGGGUGCGUAGGCGGCGCGCUAAGUCGGGUGUGAAAUCUCGGAGCUUAACUCCGAAACUGCAUUCGAUACUGGCGUGCUUGAGGACUGGAGAGGAGACUGGAAUUUACGGUGUAGCAGUGAAAUGCGUAGAUAUCGUAAGGAAGACCAGUGGCGAAGGCGGGUCUCUGGACAGUUCCUGACGCUGAGACACGAAGGCCAGGGGAGCAAACGGG
rnacentral:rRNA from 1 species